GCCGGGUGCGGUGGCGCACGCCUGUAGUCUCAGCUACUCGGGAGGCUGAGGCUGGAGGAUCGCUUGAACUCAGGAGUUCUGUGCUACAGUGCGCUAUGGCGAUCGGGUGUCCACACUAAGUUCGGCAUCAAUAUGGUGAUCUCCCAGGAGCGGGGGACCAUCAUGUUGCCUAAGGAGGGGUGAACUGGCCCAGGUCGGAAACGGAGCAGAUCAAAACUCCCGUGCUCAUCAGAGUGUCAAGUGCUAUGAAAAAUGAUGAGAUUUUGAUUCAAGUUACAGAUUUGGAAGAAAAUCAAGCUAUU
rnacentral:SRP_RNA from 1 species